rnacentral:rRNA from 1 species
GACGAACGCUGGCGGCGUGCUUAACACAUGCAAGUCGAACGGUGAUGCUCCAGCUUGCUGGAGUGGAUCAGUGGCGAACGGGUGAGUAACACGUGAGCAACCUGCCCCAGACUCUGGAAUAAGCGCUGGAAACGGCGUCUAAUACUGGGUACGAAACUGGCCCGCAUGGGCAUGGUUUGGAAAGUUUUUCGGUUUGGGAUGGGCUCGCGGCCUAUCAGCUUGUUGGUGAGGUAAUGGCUCACCAAGGCGACGACGGGUAGCCGGCCUGAGAGGGCGACCGGCCACACUGGGACUGAGACACGGCCCAGACUCCUACGGGAGGCAGCAGUGGGGAAUAUUGCACAAUGGGCGAAAGCCUGAUGCAGCGACGCCGCGUGAGGGAUGACGGCCUUCGGGUUGUAAACCUCUUUCAGCAGGGAAGAAGCGAAAGUGACGGUACCUGCAGAAGAAGCACCGGCUAACUACGUG